rnacentral:rRNA from 1 species
UACGUAGGGCGCAAGCGUUGUCCGGAAUUAUUGGGCGUAAAGAGCUCGUAGGCGGUUCGGUAAGUCAGGUGUGAAAUCUCCACGCUCAACGUGGAGGCGCCACCUGAAACUGCCGUGACUAGAGUCCGGUAGGGGAGUGUGGAAUUCCCGGUGUAGCGGUGGAAUGCGUAGAUAUUGGGAGGAACACCAGUGGCGAAGGCGGCUCACUGGACCGGAACUGACGCUGAGGCGCGAGAGCGUGGGGAGCAAACAGG